UACGUACUGUGCGAACGUUAUUCGGAAUCACUGGGCUUAAAGGGUGUGUAGGCGGCCAGCUAAGUAGGGUGUGAAAGGCCUUGGCUCAACCAAGGCAUUGCGCUCUAAACUGACUGGCUUGAGUGAGAUAGGGGUGUGCGGAACUUCCAGUGGAGCGGUGAAAUGUGUUGAUAUUGGAAGGAACGCCGGUGGCGAAAGCGGCACACUGGGUCUUGUCUGACGCUGAGGCACGAAAGCUAGGGUAGCGAACGGG
rnacentral:rRNA from 1 species